rnacentral:rRNA from 1 species
GUCCUUUAAUUGGGGACUUGUAUGAAUGGUUUGAUGAAGGAUUACCUUUCUUUAUUUUUAUAUAUAAUAAUUUAAUUUAUAAGUUAAAAAGCUUAUAUUAUUUUAAAUGACGAGAAGACCCUGUAGAACUUUACUAUAAUGAAUAUACUGUUUAAUAUAUAUUAUUAAAUAAAUAGUUAUUUAUAAAUAGUUUUGUUGGGGUGACAGUUAAAUUUAUUAAACUUUAAUUUGAAUUAAUUCAUUAAUUAGUGAUUUAUAUUGAUCCUAUAUUAUAGAUUAUAAGAAUAAGUUACCUCAGGGAUAACAGCGUAAUUCUAUUGGAGAGUUCAUAUUAAUAAUAGAGUUUGCGACCUCGAUGUUGGAUUAA